GUUUGGUCCUGACCUUAAGAUCAAUUUUUACUUAAUUUACACAUGCAAGUCUCAGCAACCCUGUGAGAACGCCCUUAAACUCCUCCUAAGGAACAAGGAGCUGGUAUCAGGCACAAACUUUAGCCCAAGACACCUAGCCAUGCCACACCCACAAGGGAAUUCAGCAGUGAUUAACAUUGAAUAUAAGCGACAGCUUGAUUCAGUUAAGGUAAAAAGAGCCGGCAAAUCUGGUGCCAGCCGCCGCGGUUACACCACGUGGCUCAAAUUGAUUAUAUUCGGCGUAAAGCGUGAUUUAAGAGAUUAAUUUAUGGUGUCAAAAAAUUACUAAGCCGUGACACGCUUGUGAUUUAGAAGCUCAAAAAACAAAGCUACACCAACAGCAUCAACUUGAAUUAACGACAGCUUGGAAACAAACUGGGAUUAGAUACCCCACUAUGCCUAGCCGUAAACUUUAACUUACACCUCAAUCGCCAGGGAACUACGAGCAAAGCUUAAAACCCAAAGGACUUGACGGUACCCCAAAUCCAUCUAGAGGAGCCUGUCCUGUAAUCGAUAACCCCCGUUUAACCUCACCACUUAUUGUUCAUCAGCCUGUAUACCUCCGUCGUCAGCUUACCACGUGAGCGUUAUUAAGUGAGCUUAAUGCCCCUACGCCAACACGUCAGGUCAAGGUGCAGCUAAUGAAGUGGGAAGAGAUGGGCUACACUUUCUACAGUAGAAGAAACGAAAGACUAUAUAUGAAACCUAGUCAGAAGGAGGAUUUAGUAGUAAAAAGAAAACAGACUGUUCUUUUUAACCCGGCA
rnacentral:ncRNA from 1 species